rnacentral:piRNA from 1 species
UUCCCUGUUGAAGUCACUGAAGG